AACGAACGCUGGCGGCAGGCCUAACACAUGCAAGUCGAGCGGACCCUCCGGGGUUAGCGGCGGACGGGUGAGUAACGCGUGGGAAUAUGCCCUUCUCUACGGAAUAGUCCUGGGAAACUGGGGGUAAUACCGUAUACGCCCUUUGGGGGAAAGAUUUAUCGGGGAAGGAUUAGCCCGCGUUGGAUUAGGUAGUUGGUGGGGUAAUGGCCUACCAAGCCGACGAUCCAUAGCUGGUUUGAGAGGAUGAUCAGCCACACUGGGACUGAGACACGGCCCAGACUCCUACGGGAGGCAGCAGUGGGGAAUCUUAGACAAUGGGGGCAACCCUGAUCGAGCCAUGCCGCGUGAGUGAUGAAGGCCUUAGGGUUGUAAAGCUCUUUCAGCUGGGAAGAUAAUGACGGUACCAGCAGAAGAAGCCCCGGCUAACUCCGUG
rnacentral:rRNA from 1 species